GUGUUCCCUAGAGUUCCUCUAACCAUUUCAUUAAGAAUUCAUUAAAUGAAUUCUCUUUAUUGAAGCGUUUGGGGGAACUCCUGGAAUCAC
rnacentral:pre_miRNA from 1 species